rnacentral:rRNA from 1 species
AAACCAACAGGGAUUGCCUCAGUAACGGCGAGUGAAGCGGCAAAAGCUCAAAUUUGAAACCCUCGGGAUUGUAAUUUGAAGAUUUGGCAUUGGAGAAAGCUAACCCAAGUUGCUUGGAAUAGUACGUCAUAGAGGGUGACAACCCCGUCUGGCUAACCGUUCUCCAUGUAUUGCCUUAUCAAAGAGUCGAGUUGUUUGGGAAUGCAGCUCAAAGUGGGUGGUAAACUCCAUCUAAAGCUAAAUACUGGUGAGAGACCGAUAGCGAACAAGUACUGUGAAGGAAAGGUGAAAAGAACUUUGAAAAGAGAGUGAAAUAGUAUGUGAAAUUGUUGAUAGGGAAGGAAAUGAGUGGAGAGUGGCCGAGGUUUCAGCCGCCCCUCGUGGGCGGUGUACUGCCGACGCCGAGUCAUCGAUAGCGAGACGAGGGUUACAAAUGGGAGCGCCUUCGGGCGUUCUCCCCUAACCCUCCACACUGCCACCGACGACAUAAUCCACCCAUUUCACCCGUCUUGAAACACGGACCAAGGAGUCUAAUGGAUAUGUGAGUGUUAGGGUGGCAAACCCCAGCGCGCAAUGAAAGUGAAUGGAUUCGUUCAGAAUCGACCGAACUUGAUUAUUAUGACAGUUUUGAGUAAACACAUCCAUUGGGACCCGAAAGAUGGUGAACUAUGCCUGGAUAGGGUGAAGUCAGAGGAAACUCUGAUGGAGGCUCGUAGCGGUUCUGACGUG